CCGGACUGCUCGGGGUUAGGCUGGGCAUCGGUCAGCGAGUGUGGCAUAUGUCUCUGAAAGAGAAGAACAAGAUGCCCAUCCAUGCAUAAGCAAGCUUAAAAUGCCUCUUAGAGCAGAUUUAAUGUAAUGUACACAUGCCUUUGUGGAAUGACUCUGACAGAAGCAAUGCUGACACCUGCCUGGCUUUCACUGAGAGAAAGAACUAAAUUUCAGAGCGGGUUCAAAGGGAGAAGACAACAGGAGGCCCAUGAACCUCUAGAACCCUACAGCAGAUGGGAAGAGGGGGAAAAGAAAUAAAAUUAGGUUCUUCCGCAGAGCAGAGGAAACACGGCAAAAAUAUUUAUUGUUCCUCUCCAGAGGUUGUUUUGUUUUGUUUUUAAAUUAUUAUUAAUUUCAAAUACCAUUGUCACAGUUAAGAAAUAAAUAUCAGUUAAAUAGCAGAAAGUUUAAUCUGCAUUACUGUAGUGGAAAUGGAUAGCUCAGAUUUCAAUUUUACAGUGCAGGAACAGCCUCUUUCUGUUUGAUAUCAUUUAUCAAAAUCCAAUUGUCAAAUGCUAAAACACUCACUAACAUGAUGUAUUUUAGAAUAAUCAAUCUUACUUUUUACAAACAAAAAACUGAAGAGGAUAAUACACAUCUGCCAUUUCAACAUAUUAAAUGAAAAAAUGUUACUAGUAACAAAAGAAAAAAUAAUAUGAAUUCUUCAAAGCGCUUCAUUACAUUACUUCCUAAUCAAUUAUUAGAAAGCCUUGUAACAUUAUAAUGGCUGAAGACAUUUGAUAGAUUCACGCAGCAUUUGCUUGUUACUUGUAAAGAUGUUCAGCAUUGUGUUCUAAAUAAAUAUCUGUGACUACAAA